ACCAGCUGUGGUGCUGCUCUGAGCCGUCCCUGGGAUCUCUGCAAAUUAAGCCAGUAUGAGAGCAAUCCCACAUUAAGCAGUAUGAGGGCAACAGCUAAUGCAAGGUUACAGGUCUGUCCUGCUGGGAUGCAUCCCAGAAGGUCCUUGGUUUGCAAAAGAAGCUGUGUCAACAGACGAGCAGGUGGAUUUAAUCCGAUAUACAGCAAAACCAAACCACAGAAUCUGAACAGCCUGGUUAAACUAUGCCAGGUCAGGUCUGCUCAAAUCAAGAUAGGUCUCUGGUUUGGUCUGGUUCAGGCUAAUCUGAGGAGGUCUGUCUGAAUGUGCUCUGCUUUUGUCCUAUCUUGGCUUUUUUUUCUUUUUUUUUUCUGUUUUCAAGGAGUUUGGUUAGGUUAGUGUGAGUCAGCAACUCACAAACAAAGGUUUGUGGCCAGGUGGGCAGGUUUCUCCACGUGAAACCCCAAUGAACGCACAGUGAGAAUGAAGUUAUUUUUCUGAGGAGGCUCAAAGCCUUGAAAAACAAAACAAACAAACAAAACAAACAAAACAACCAACCAACCAACAACAACAACAGAAACCCUUAGGAUAAAUUCAGAUCAUUGCAACCAGCCAAGCUAACAAUAGGCUCAGCAGCAGCCUUGGAAAACACGGCGCUGAUCUGUUAGGAAUGACAAUAAGAUCAGCUGCUGCUUUAAUCAACAGAUUGAACACAGUAGGGUGGCUCUUCCAAUUCGCUUUAGGCUGACAGCUUCCAGAGCAUUUUGUCCAGGGCAUGGUGAAGUCUAACCCCUCUGUUCCCUGCCUGGAGAAGGAAGACGUGUGUCCACUCAGGGUGCCAGCAUGGGGCUGUCCGCAGCAUGGGAAGGAUCAUCACCUUGUCCUGAGUACCAGGGUGAGACCACAGAGGACACAACAAAGCUUUGAAACACCUUGUCUGGAUUGACCAUACGCUGGAUCACAUCAGAACGUAGCAGGGAAGAAGAAACCCUCCUGGUGCUUUCCCCUGCAGCCUUCUCUCAGCUGCCAUGGAGGCAGGCAGGAGUCUCUCCUCUGGACAUCACUCAGGACAUAAGUUGUAUAAUUACAAUAAACAUAAACCCUUAUUCUCCCUCCAUCUUCCAAACACUCUGUGUAGCAUGUGGAUGUUCAAAUGCACCAUCCUGAGGACUCAGACAGCUCUAAAAUUUGCAAAGCUACCUUUGGUCCUGUGUUAACGUGGGACACAACACACACACGUGUGCUGAGGAGCUCCUUGGACUGCAGUGACCUUGCUGGCUGUGAGACAAAAGUCCCAGCUCAAUUUGAGAGGGUCUGUCACUUUGUACACUGGACCAAAGCAAAGGGAAUUACUGUCUGAUGAGAUGCUGAUCCCAAAUGGAGUGCUGCUCAGGGAGGGAGCAGGCAAAGGAAGCUCUGACAGCAGAAGGCAGAGAUGCAAAUAGGAAGAACAGCAAAGCAAAGUGACCUGUUAUGUCCCCAGAUACCAAGGGGGCAAGGAAUGGAAAUGAGGACUGGAAGACAUGGGAAUAAUGCAAUAAAGGUUAGUGUAGACAGGGUGGUGCCUUGAACAGAUAGCAUGGUUAAAACCAAAUGAGCAGCCUUAGAAAACCCCCAUGAUGUUGAAAAAAGGGGCACUCUGAAGAGGCUGCUGGUCACGGGCUAGAAAACAAGAGCAGCUGUGGGUGGGAAGCUGCAGCCCUGGUGGGCUGAGCAGCCUGCUGCUGAGCAGGCAGUUUUCUGGGUUGCAUCUCUAUUUGUGCAAGGGGUAUAAUCUCUGCCGGAUGCUCUGCAGAUGCAGGAAUGGGUCCACAGCCACAGCUUUGGGGGUCUCUAUGGCAGACGGUGCUCAAUAAAUGGGCCAAAGAGUGAGCAGUAAACCCACUGUGCAAGUGCACUGAAUCCAGACACGUCAUGAGAGCCUGCUCCAGCAGAGCAAGGGCGACCAGCAGAGAGAGAUCUCACCAUCGGUGCAAAGAACAGAGGGACUGAACGGAGAGGUUUGGGGGGUAUUUAUUGAACGCUUUGCAUAAGCAGCUUUGGAGCAGAACAGCACGGAGAAGGGAUGGACAGAAAAUGCUCUUGGCUACUGCACAGCAAGCCUUCGGGGUCUCCCAGCCACCACCUCCAGCAGAGGUACCACCGUCCCUCUGGCACGCUGCUGGAGAAAUUGGAUGCUUCGUCCCUCUCUGCCCCCAGCACUGAGAAUGGAGACAGAGGUGGCAGUGAGGAUGUGGGAGCAGGGUCUGCUUCUGGCUUCAGUCCCAGCCACAGAAAAAAAAAGUCUUUUGUCUAGGCUAUAGACAGCACGCCACAAACACCAACUCAUAAAGCAACUUCUGUUCAAAUUAGAAUAAAAUGUGUUAAACUGCU